rnacentral:rRNA from 1 species
GACGAACGCUGGCGGCGUGCCUAAUACAUGCCAGUAGAACGCUGAAGAGAGGAGCUUGCUCUUCUUGGAUGAGUUGCGAACGGGUGAGUAACGCGUAGGUAACCCGCCUUGUAGCGGGGGAUAACUAUUGGAAACGAUAGCUAAUACCGCAUAACAAUGGAUGACACAUGUCAUUUAUUUGAAAGGGGCAAUUGCUCCACUACAAGAUGGACCUGCGUUGUAUUAGCUAGUAGGUGAGGUAAUGGCUCACCUAGGCGACGAUACAUAGCCGACCUGAGAGGGUGAUCGGCCACACUGGGACUGAGACACGGCCCAGACUCCUACGGGAGGCAGCAGUAGGGAAUCUUCGGCAAUGGGGGCAACCCUGACCGAGCAACGCCGCGUGAGUGAAGAAGGUUUUCGGAUCGUAAAGCUCUGUUGUAAGUCAAGAACGGGUGUGAGAGUGGAAAGUUCACACUGUGACGGUAGCUUACCAGAAAGGGACGGCUAACUACGUG